ensembl:lncRNA
CGGCCAUGUUGGUUACCUCAGGGUGCGAUGCUCAGCGCCGGUAUCAACAGUGACUCCAGUUGAACAGAGCUGCUGGAAAUGACUUGCAAAAAUCAAUUAGAAACCGAGGCUGGCUGAGCGCUUUCCAGUGGUAGGAGUUCUCAGCAGAAAGUGGGAUCCGUCGUGAAACCGAGCAAGGGGCUGUUGUAUUUGAACAACUCCUCUACUUGCUGAAGCCUGGGUCUUUGCUACUCUGCUGUGGUUGUACAUUCACUGCAGCUCUGAGGAGUUGCACGUGUCAAUAGAGUAUAUAAAGACUGAGAGGGUAAUCGAGCACAGUGGAGUACCAGAGUGAUGAAGAACAGCAACAGUUGUAUGAAAAUAAAUGGAGGGAGAACAGACCAGUAGGGAUCUGGGAAGAUCCCCAGCAAGAGGAGAAAAGCAUGAGAAAAGCAAAGAUUUAAUUACUUUGCCUACAGUUUAUACUUUGAAGGAAGAAAACAAAAUGUUUAUUGGAAAACAGAAAGAAAAAAUCUGGAAGAAAAACAUAAAAAAAAAAAACCCUAGUCACAUGCAGUAAGUCUGAUUAUAAGAAAAUAAGUUAUGAUUAUAAGAAGAUUUCCUGAAAAACUUAUGUUGGUAGUCAUUCAAAUCGCAUAUCUGUAAGUUUGGGGAAAAAGUAUACAGGUAAUGCAUGCAGUAAAUGUUGCAGUGGAAGGAACUGAGAUGGAGUGCCCUGCUGUCCCCAGCCCUGCUCACUGGAUUUAGCACCAUGACUGGGUACUUCUAAAAUGUAAAGGCUGUG